CUGACAGUUUGGCUUCCCUGUUCCAGGUGGCAAAGCCUGUGGGGUAUUCACCUACCUGCUGCAUGAAGGCAGCAUGGAGGGACUGUGGUGGAUUAUCUGCAAAGAUGGCCCAAAUUCUCUCAUCCCUGCAGGUACAUACAAGAUGCCAGAAUCAGUCAAAACUAAGCUCACUGUCCUUGCUAAUAUUCUGCCCCAGAGGAGAACUGAAGCUCAGCUAUUCACCCUACAGAAAGCCUGAAUUUUGUAAAUGUUCUGCUUAGAAUGAGGAAGAAAGAUGAAGAAUGAGGAGGAAGAAGGGAGGAACAAGAGAGAGAGCCAGGUUUCCAGAAGUUCCCUAGUCAUUGGGCAUUUCUGAGACUCUUGAUGCAUAUGCCAAGUAGUUAUGGAGAAAGACAUAGCCGCUUACCUCUGCAGGCAUCAUUGUGUGAAAGGAAGACCGAGGCUGUCUCACCACCCUUGAAGAGAAGCCUUUUGCUAAGGUGAUAGCUGCAUGUCCAAGCCUAUUGCGUGGCAUGGAUUUUGCCUUCUACAGCCCACUAAAGGAAAUUGAGGUGUACGGAAUGCUUAUUUGGUUGACUCAGUAUCAUCCUAAAUGUAUGAACUAAUGUUUAGGAGUUU
rnacentral:lncRNA from 1 species